rnacentral:tRNA from 1 species
GGGACGUUGGACAAAUGGUUAAGUUGACACCCUUUCACGGUGUAGAUGCGAGUCCGAUUCUCGCACGUCCUA